rnacentral:rRNA from 1 species
AACGAACGCUGGCGGCAGGCUUAACACAUGCAAGUCGAACGCAUCCUUCGGGGUGAGUGGCAGACGGGUGAGUAACGCGUGGGAACGUGCCCUUCAGUUCGGGAUAACCCAGGGAAACUUGGGCUAAUACCGGAUACGUGCGAGAGCAGAAAGAUUUAUCGCUGAAGGAUCGGCCCGCGUCUGAUUAGCUAGUUGGUGGGGUAAUGGCCCACCAAGGCGACGAUCAGUAGCUGGUCUGAGAGGAUGAUCAGCCACAUUGGGACUGAGACACGGCCCAAACUCCUACGCGAGGCAGCAGUGGGGAAUAUUGGACAAUGGGCGCAAGCCUAAUCCAGCCAUGUCGGGUGAGUGAUGAAGGCCUUAGGGUUGUAAAGCUCUUUCGUCCGGGACUAUAAUGACGGUACCGGAAGAAGAAGCCCCGGCUAACUUCGUGCCAGCAGCCGCCGUAA